GAUGAACGCUAGCGGUAGGCCUAACACAUGCAAGCCGAGCGGUAGAGCUUUUUCGGAUUCUUGAGAGCGGCGUACGGGUGCGGAACACGUGUGCAACCUGCCUUUAUUAGGGGGAUAGCCUUUCGAAAGGAAGAUUAAUACCCCAUAAUAUAUUUGAUGGCAUCAGUAGAUAUUGAAAGCUUUGGCGGAUAGAGAUGGGCACGCGCAAGAUUGGAGAGUUGGUUAGGUAACGGCUCACCAAGCCGAUGAUCUUUAGGUGGCCUGAGGGGGUGAUCCCCCAGACUGGUACUGAGGCACGGACCAGACUCCGACGGGAGGGAGCAGUAAGGAAUACUGGACGAUGGAUUAGCACCUAAUCCAGCCAUGCCGCGUGAAGGACGACGGCGCUAUGGAUUGUAAACUGCUGGUGUACAAAGGUAAACCUACUCUCGUGAGAGUAGCUGAAGGUACUGUACGAAUAAGCACCGGCUAACUCCGUG
rnacentral:rRNA from 1 species